rnacentral:tmRNA from 1 species
GGGGGCGCAAUGGUUUCGACAGGGGUGUUGAAACAAAAUAAGCGAGCCGGGAUGCCAGAUACCGUACAUAUGAUGGCCAGUAAAUAUAACUGCAGAUAACAAAAAAUUAGCUUUCGCCGCUUAAUUGCGGCGUGUCUUGCCUCUCCAUACCUGCGUGGGUUGCAAGGCAUCAAAUAAGGCAGGAAAUUCAACUGACUUUCUUUCCCGGAGUCUUUUGAAAAAUCAGGGAAUAGUUGCCUACAGAGUCGGCCGCCUGUCUCUGUAAGCAGCGAAAAAAGAAAAGCGGAUGCGCUCGGAGAAAGUUUUGUGAAUAUGCUUUUGGACACGGGUUCGACUCCCGUCGCCUCCACCA